rnacentral:rRNA from 2 species
GUGCUUGCAUCUUGAUUUAAUUUUGAACGAGUGGCGGACGGGUGAGUAACACGUGGGUAACCUGCCCUUAAGUGGGGGAUAACAUUUGGAAACAGAUGCUAAUACCGCAUAAAUCCAAGAACCGCAUGUUCUUGGCUGAAAGAUGGCGUAAGCUAUCGCUUUUGGAUGGACCCGCGGCGUAUUAACUAGUUGGUGAGGUAACGGCUCACCAAGGCAAUGAUACGUAGCCGAACUGAGAGGUUGAUCGGCCACAUGGGACUGAGACACGGCCCAAACUCCUACGGGAGGCAGCAGUAGGGAAUCUUCCACAAUGGACGCAAGUCUGAUGGAGCAACGCCGCGUGAGUGAAGAAGGCUUUCGGGUCGUAAAACUCUGUUGUUGAGAAAAAUGGUCGGCAGAGUAACUGUUGUCGGCGUGACGGUAUCCAACCAGAAAGCCACGGCUAACUACGUGCCAGCAGC